GUAGGGAAUCUUCCACAAUGGGCGAAGGCCUGAUGGAGCAACGCCGCGUGUGUGAUGAAGGGUUUCGGCUCGUAAACACUGUUGUAAGAGAAGAAUGACAUUGAGAGUAACUGUUCAGUGUGUGACGGUAUCUUACCAGAAAGGAACGGCUAAAUACGUGCCAG
rnacentral:rRNA from 1 species